GGACGAACGCUGGCGGCGUGCUUAACACAUGCAAGUCGAGCGGUAAGGCCCUUUCGGGGGUACACGAGCGGCGAACGGGUGAGUAACACGUGGGUGACCUGCCCUUAGCUCUGGGAUAAGCCUGGGAAACUGGGUCUAAUACCGGAUAUGACUCCAUGACGCAUGUUGUGGGGUGGAAAGCCUUGUGCGGCUAGGGAUGGGCCCGCGGCCUAUCAGCUUGUUGGUGGGGUGAU
rnacentral:rRNA from 1 species